ensembl:lncRNA
CAUAGAGCCCGGACCCGGCGUAGUGGCGCUGUGUGUGUUUGGCAACAACAAAAAGAGUGUUUUGAGAAUAGUUUUAACUGCAUUUUCACCCGCGGUAUUUUAAGGGACAUUAUCACAGGCGUUAGAUGGUGGCGAUGACUCCGCCGCUACUGCUGUCCGUUGGAGGAAGAGGAAGAGGAAGGAGGUGAUGAUGAUGAUGACAUGCAGUUAGCUAGCUGGCUGCCUCUCUUGCUGGACAGACGGACUUGAGCCCGCAGAGUGUCGGAGGUGUCACCGCGAAAACAGCACAGGAUCCGUGCUGAAGAGAGGCGAAGAUGCCGCGGAGAAAACAAUCCAACCCGCAGCCGGUGAAACUGGACUUUGAGGAUGGGGCAGUGGUGUGUGAGCCGGGCUGUCUCGUUUUGGACAGCGACUUCCUGCUGAGCGGCGAGCUGGAGUUUGGAGACUCGGAGAUCAUGGGACUGGAUAGAGAGUCUGGUAUGACUGUCUUCUCUCUAAGUGUGGAGGACGACUCGUCAGCACCGACAGACUCCACCUUCCCAGCGUUCCUCUCCUGUAAGGGAUGUGGUCAGCUUCUGGGAGACACACCUUUGGGGGCAGGCUUAGAUCUUGGUAACUACUGACUGACUAUAACAUGCCAGGUUGUUUACAUGUGGAGUUAAAAAUAGAAAAGACCUGGGCACAGAGUGAUAUUGG